GACGAACGCUGGCGGCGUGCUUAACACAUGCAAGUCGAACGAAGUGGCGAACGGGUGAGUAAUACGUGGGUAACCUGCCCUCCUUUUUGGGAUAAGCCUUGGAAACGGGGUCUAAUACCGCAUAAAGGGGGAUGGGCUCGCGGCCUAUCAGCUUGUUGGUGGGGUGAUGGCCUACCAAGGCGGUGACGGGUAGCCGGCCUGAGAGGGUGACCGGCAACAUGGGGACUGAGAUACGGCCCAGACGAGUACCGGAGGCAACAGUGGGGGAGACUGCACCAGGGGCGAAAGCCUGAUGCAGCGAGGCCGCGUGGGGGUGGAAGGCUUUCGGGUUGUAAACCUCUUUCGCGAUCGAACGGGUAGCUGGAGAAGAAGCGCCGGCUAACUACGUGCCAGCCGCCGCGGUAAUUC
rnacentral:rRNA from 1 species